UCCAAGCACCUGUCAAUGAGGGAAGAGAGCAGAUAAAUGCUCAGCUGGCUCUAAGUAUCGUUCAUGUCCUGUGGCCACACCCCCCCCCCAAAGAAGCCUCCACCCUGCGAGCACCAGGGCCCAGCACUGCCAGCCACACCUUAUAAUGGGCCUUGCCAAGGGCCGACCGUAUGGAGAAGAAGGAAAAGAGGGUCUCAGGAGGCGUUUCUAGAAGAUGCUGCUUUUAAAAAGACACAGAUUCUGGGAACCGCUCUAGAUCUUAAGCAUCAGCGUCUCCGGGGGGAAUGCAAGGGGCCGAGGGAAUCUGCAUCCUUAACCAGCUUCUCAGACUCAACCCUCCAUGUAUCCCUGGCGUCCCGGUGGGAGUCCAUUCGUUCUGGACUUCUCCACCCUGGAUUCAUCUGUCUGCAUCGGCAGGACGUCCCUGGGGAUGAUUUGAGAGGAGCGACUCACAGGAGGUGUACACGGGCCAGCCCGCCCUGGGCGUGAAUGGCUCCAGGGAGCACGUCGCCUCCCCAGUCAGUCCCCGUAAUGUGUAACGAAGGCAGUUGUGACCAAGACAGAAGGAGAGGGUUUGCUCAGAAAAGAAGUCUCACGACCCGGCGGCGAAGAGCCUUCCCGAACUGACUCCAGUGUUCUUUGUGCACGAAACUGGCACCCUCCUCAGGGGUGGCAAACACGGGCACCAUCGUGGCACCCAACAUCAAACCAGAGACCGUGCUCAGCUGUCUGGUGGACACGAGCUCAGGGUCCUACAAAGCGACCCCUGGCAGAGUGGGAACAGCACAGGCUGAGGCUGAGGACAUCGCGAGGCUCUGCCCCAUCAACUCUCCAACCCGGACAGGAGCCCCUCGGGGCAACCGCGUCACCCCUUGCUGUGGCCGUCCUGUGUGGAGCCACGGGGAACACGGAUAGAUAUGCCACGAAAGUAACACGCCUUCCAGAAGAAGAAAAUGAUCCCUGUAGAGGAGGCACCAGAGUCAAAAGGUGCGAAAAGUUUGGAAGAGACUUACUGAAAGAUUGCUGGGUACAAAAGAAGCAAAGAGCAAUUCGCGAGCAGAGGGUGAAAGGAGAGAGACUCCAGACGUGCGGGGCUGACCCAGCACAUGGAAAGCCAGCCUGCUGGGGCUGCUAGAAACUUCCUGCAGCCUGAUCUCGCUGGGGGCCUAAGCAAAGGGGUGAGCGCGGUCAGGUGCAAGCAAGAUCAACCCCCCUCCCGCCCCCCAUGCCCUGAGCCAGCAGCCUUCAGGGUACAA